CCUACGGGAGGCAGCAGUCGAGAAUCAUUCACAAUGGGGGAAACCCUGAUGGUGCGACGCCGCGUGGGGGAAUGAAGGUCUUCGGAUUGUAAACCCCUGUCAUGUGGGAGCAAAUUAAAAAGAUAGUACCACAAGAGGAAGAGACGGCUAACUCUGUGCCAGCAGCCGCGGUAAUACAGAGGUCUCAAGCGUUGUUCGGAACCACUGGGCGUAAAGCGUGCGUAGGCUGUUUCGUAAGUCGUGUGUGAAAGGCGCGGGCUCAACCCGCGGACGGCACAUGAUACUGCGAGACUAGAGUAAGGGAGGGGGAACCGGAAUUCUCGGUGUAGCAGUGAAAUGCGUAGAUAUCGAGAGGAACACUCGUGGCGAAGGCGGGUUCCUGGACAUUAACUGACGCUGAGGCACGAAGGCCAGGGGAGCGAAAGGGAUUAGAUACCCUGGUAGUC
rnacentral:rRNA from 1 species